rnacentral:rRNA from 1 species
AUUGAACGCUGGCGGCAUGCCUUACACAUGCAAGUCGAACGGCAGCACGGGUGCUUGCACCUGGUGGCGAGUGGCGAACGUGUGAGUAAUACAUCGGAACAUGUCCUGUAGUGGGGGAUAGCCCGGCGAAAGCCGGAUUAAUACCGCAUACGAUCUACGGAUGAAAGCGGGGGACCUUCGGGCCUCGCGCUAUAGGGUUGGCCGAUGGCUGAUUAGCUAGUUGGUGGGGUAAAGGCCUACCAAGGCGACGAUCAGUAGCUGGUCUGAGAGGACGACCAGCCACACUGGGACUGAGACACGGCCCAGACUCCUACGGGAGGCAGCAGUGGGGAAUUUUGGACAAUGGGCGAAAGCCUGAUCCAGCAAUGCCGCGUGUGUGAAGAAGGCCUUCGGGUUGUAAAGCACUUUUGUCCGGAAAGAAAUCCUUGGCCCUAAUACGGUCGGGGGAUGACGGUACCGGAAGAAUAAGCACCGGCUAACUACGUG